UUCGACCUCGGAUCGGGCGAGAGUACCCGCUCAACUUAAGCAUAUCACUAAGCGGAGGAAAAGAAACUAACGAGGAUUCCCUCAGUAACGGCGAGCGAAGCGGGAAGAGCCCAUCUCCGAACCGGCGCGGGGCGCGAGCCUCGUCACGAGCGCCGGAGUGUGGAGUGUGGGGACCGGGCCUCUGGCCCCACCCCGGUUGGCGACGCCGCCAAAUCCCAAGCCCGCGCGCAAGUCCCCUCGAACGGGGCCACGGCCCGAAGAGGGUGCCAGGCCCGUAGGCGCGGCGGCGGCGGAGCCUCGGGGGUCCCGGAGAGUCGGGUUGCUUGGGAGUGCAGCCCCAAGUGGGUGGUAAACUCCACCCAAGGCUAAACACGACCGCGAGACCGAUAGCGAACAAGUACCGCGAGGGAAAGUUGAAAAGAACUUUGGAGARAGAGUUCAAGAGGGCGUGAAACCGCUCGGGUGAAAAACGGGUGGAACCUCGAAGGUCGACGGGGGAGUCAGGCCCUCGGCCCCGGGUGCCGCGUCGUGGUUUUUCGGAUGGCUCCCGGUGUCAAACCGGCCUGUCCUCUUCCUUUUUCCCCUCGGGGAGGGAGGAGGGGGGUAGCAGGCUCCGGGACUGCCUCCGGCCCCGCGGUUCUCCGGUUUUUUUGGUCCGGGGAGUCCGCACUUCCCCCGGUAGGACGCCGCCUCCGGUUGCUUCAUUUCAAAUGGGAGGSCUACGGCCCGGGUCGCUAGCAGGGUCCCUGGUUGUCCCGGCGCCCGGUGUCCCGGCCUCCCGGCGACCGAUAAAAGAGAUUUUAAUGAUUCGGCGGGCACACGCUCGGAGCAAACGCCGCGUUUUUCCGGUCCGGCGCUACGGUCCCCCGCGCGGGCGGGCAGGGUCCUCUAAUCGUGCGGAGCCGUCGCGAGACGACCCGCCGGAGGCCCGGCCGUCGGCCCGGCGGAGGAGUCGGCCGGCCGGCGCCGAGCAGACCCCGAGAUGAGAGAGGGCGGCGAGCAUGUUCGGCGGUCCACCCGCCCCGUCUUGAAACACGGGCCAAGGAGUCUAACACGUGCGCGAGUCCUCGGGUUUUAAACUAACUAAACCCGGAGGCGGAGCGAAAGCGAAGGCCUCGCAACCAAAGCGGGCCGAGGGGAGAUCCGGAAGGCCGAUGCCAGUGGGCCACGCGGCCGUCGGGGAGCCCGCUCCCCGCGCCGUCAGCCCGGUGUUCAAAACCUGCCGACCGGCGCAUCCUCGGGGCGUGCCGAACCCGGCAGAGGGUCGGGGCGCACCCAGAGCGCACGCGUCGGGACCCGAAAGAUGGUGAUCUAUGCCUGGCCAGGACGAAGCCGGGGAAAACUCGGUGGAGGUCCGCAGCGGUUCUGACGUGCAAAUCGAUCGUCGGAGCUGGGUAUAGGGGCGAAAGACCAAACGAACCAUCUAGUAGCUGGUUCCCUCCGAAGUUUCCCUCAGGAUAGCUGGCGCUCGCCGGAACGGAGUCUCAUCCGGUAAAGCGACUGAUUGGAGGAACCCGGGUCGCUGGGACCUGGACCUACUCUCAAACUUUGAAUGGGUGAGAAGCCGGGCAAGCCCGAGACGGUCGUAGCCCGAGCACUGACUGGAUCCGAGCGCCCAGUGGGCCACUUUUGGUAAGCAGAACUGGCGCUGUGGGAUGAACCAAACGCCGGGUUAAGGCGCCCGAAUCGCCGCUCAUGGGAUCCCAUGAAAGGCGUCGGCGGCUAAAGACAGCAGGACGGUGGCCAUGGAAGUCGGCAUCCGCCAAGGAGUGUGUAACGACUCACCUGCCGAAGCCACCGGCCCUGAAAAUGGAUGGCGCUGAAGCGGCGUGCCCAUACCCGGCCGUCGUGGCAGAGCAUGCCCGGCAAAAAAGAANAAAAAAAA
rnacentral:rRNA from 1 species